UCCUUGAAAUUGAUGUUCGUACCUAAAUGUACAGACAGCAUAGGAUAUUUCUUCAUCAUCUUUAUUCUCUCUCUCUCAUGUUUCUUCUUUAAUUUGUGAAUUUCUUCAUUGUAUUCUUGUCAAAGGACAUUUUAUUCCUUAAUUCCUUCUCUCUCCAUUCUAAAAUCUUGACUGGUAUGUAUCGUGAGGCAAGCUUUCCUUUCAUUGUUGCAUGCCCUUCUUCUUGCUACUUUAAACUGACCAAACUUAGAAAGUGCUUCCUGAAACAAAUGUCACAUGGAUUCCUAUCGUCGUCUCUAAAUUGAAAUUCAGAAACUAACUUCCUAUGUUGUAUUGACUUUUGGCUGUUAAAUUAGUCUAAUAAUAGUUUUCCUCCUUAUUCUGAAGUUAAUGGCCAUUGCUAUCUUUUUCUUCCCAGCAGCUACUCGCCAUGUUGUCCAAUGAGCUCAUUUGUUUUGAUGGUCAAUUUUGUUUUGCUUGCAAUGCCCUAACUUUGGGCAACGAAGGACUUCUUUUUAUUGUUUAUGAAUCCUGAACUUAGUAUUCUUUCAUUUGACGUUUGCGGUAUUUUGCAUUUCUAUGUUUCUGUUCGCUUACAUUUUUUACGAAUACAGUUGCGUCCCCCCACCCACCCACCACUCCUUCCCCAUGCACCAAAAUGUUUGCAUACCUUUCAUUUGUGUGCAUGCUUCUGAAUUCUUCCACUUUCCCAUGUAUUACAGCUAUUUAUUUGUUUAGAUUAGCUUUUUCUUACGCGAUUUGAAAUCACUAUUGUUUGUACCUUGGUUUUGCUUUUGCAUUGAAGUAGUGCCUUGUUUUUUCUAAUGUAAUUUGCCAUGUUGUUUACUUCGCUUUGAUCUAUGUUGCUAGGGUCUUUAGGUUCAAAAAUCCAUUCCGAGAGCUGGUUCAGUGUGGGAUCAGCGAAGUUGUCUAGAAAAUUAAGACAUGGUUUAUAAAUUUUACCGAAAAAUGUCUUCUGAUAUGGUUCCUAUACAUGAGUUAUAUGCUGCGUGUUUUUGUUGGUGUUAAAUUCGUGAUCUAGCUUUCGGUUUUGGUGAGCCUACUGUGCAUUGAGUUUUUCUUGCUAUGCUGUUAUUCGUACAAAGAUUCAAAGGUGUGAAGGAACAAUAUUGCUCGCUUUGCUCACCUAAGCAGCCAGGCCAAAUCAUUUGCUCAGCUGGGUAGAUGAUCUUUUACAUCGACCAGUUUGUGUAGUCUGUUGUCAAGGGUGUCCUGUGCAUGUUGUGCUUAGUUGCUGCUAAAAAACUAGUGUUGUUUUUGUUGGA